rnacentral:rRNA from 1 species
CCUACGGGAGGCAGCAGUGAGGAAGAAUGGUCAAUGGACGAGAGUCUGAACCAGCCAAGUAGCGUGAAGGAUGACUGCCCGAUGGGUUGUAAACUUCGGUUAUAUGGGAAUAAAAUGAACCACGUGUGGGAUUUUGUAUGUACCAUAUGAAUAAGGAUCGGCUAACUCCGUGCCAGCAGCCGCGGUAAUACGGAGGAUCCGAGCGUUAUCCGGAUUUAUUGGGUUUAAAGGGAGCGUAGGUGGCUUGUUAAGUCAGUUGUGAAAGUUUGCGGCUCAACCGUAAAAUUGCAGUUGAAACUGGCAGUCUUGAGUACAGUAGUGGUGGGCGGACUUCGUGGUGUAGCGGUGCAAUGCUUAGCUAUCACGCAGAACUCCGAUUGCGAAGGCAGCUCACUGGACUGCACCUGACACUGAGGCUCGAAAGUGUGGGUAUCAACCAGGCUUAGAUACCCCUGUAGUC